rnacentral:misc_RNA from 1 species
UACGGAGGGUGCGAGCGUUAAUCGGAUUUAUUGGGCGUAAAGAGCACGUAGGCGGCAAUGUAAGUCAGAUGUGAAAUUUCGGGGCUCAACCCCGAAGCUGCAUUUGAAACUGCAUAGCUAGAGGCUAGGCGGAGAAAGAGGAAUUCCAAGUGUAGCGGUGAAAUGCGUAGAUAUUUGGAAGAACACCUGUGGCGAAAGCGUCUUUCUAGCUUAGUCCUGACGCUGAGGUGCGAGAGCAAGGGGAGCAAACAGG